GCCAGCAUGGUGUAGUGGUUUGAGUGUUUGACUAUGACUCUGAGACCAGGUUUCCAAUCCCUGCUCUGCCA